rnacentral:rRNA from 1 species
GACGAACGCUGGCGGCGUGCUUAACACAUGCAAGUCGAACGAAGUGGCGAACGGGUGAGUAACGCGUAAUCAAACUGCCCUUCAGAGGGGGACAACAGUUGGAAACGACUGCUAAUACCGCAUACUGAAGGAGGGGAUUGGGUCUGAUGAGGUAGUUGGAGGGGUAACGGCCCACCAAGGCGAGGAUCGGGAGCCGGUCUGGGAGUAUGAGCGGCCACAUUGGUACUGGGAAACGGCCCAGACGCCUACGGGAGGCAGCAGUGGGGAAUCGUCCGCAAUGGACGAAAGUCUGACGGAGCAACGCCGCGGGAGUGAUGACGGCCUUCGGGUUGUAGAGCUCUGUUAAUCGGGACGCGGUACCGGAAUAGAAAGCCACGGCUAACUACGUGCCAGCCGCCGCGGUAAUAC